rnacentral:precursor_RNA from 14 species
CUGAUAGAUAGCUGUAUACCUGCCCAGAGUACAUACUUCUUUAUGUACCCAUAUGAACAUACAAUGCUAUGGAAUGUAAAGAAGUAUGUAUUUUUGGCAGGCACUGAACAACCAGUAAGAG